GCCCAGACUCCUACGGGAGGCAGCAGUGGGGAAUAUUGCACAAUGGGGGAAACCCUGAUGCAGCGACGCCGCGUGAGUGAAGAAGUAUUUCGGUAUGUAAAGCUCUAUCAGCAGGGAAGAAAAUGACGGUACCUGAUUAAGAAGCCCCGGCUAACUACGUGCCAGCAGCCGCGGUAAUACGUAGGGGGCAAGCGUUAUCCGGAUUUACUGGGUGUAAAGGGAGCGUAGACGGCAGCGCAAGUCUGAAGUGAAAUGCCGGGGCUUAACCCCGGAACUGCUUUGGAAACUGUGUAACUGGAGUACAGGAGGGGCAGGCGGAAUUCCUGGUGUAGCGGUGAAAUGCGUAGAUAUCAGGAGGAACACCGGCGGCGAAGGCGGCCUGCUGGACUGAAACUGACGUUGAGGCUCGAAAGCGUGGGGAGCAAACAGGAUUAGAUACCCUAGUAGAC
rnacentral:rRNA from 1 species